GUCGAGAAUCUUCCGCAAUGCGCGAAAGCGUGACGGAGCGACACCGCGUGAUGGAUGAAGUCCUUCGGGGCGUAAACAUCUUUUAUAAAGGAGGAAAUUUUUGACGUUACUUUAUGAAUAAGGGGCUCCCAAUCUCGUGCCAGCAGGAGCGGUAAUACGAGAGCCUCAAGCGUUAUCCGGAAUCAUUGGGCGUAAAGGGUGCGUAGGUGGUUUGAUUAGUCUCCCGUUAAAACUUCGAGCUUAACUCGAAAAGAGCGGGGGAAACGGUCAAACUAGAGUAUGUGAGAGGUGUGUGGAACUCAUGGUGUAGGGGUGAAAUCCGUUGAUAUCAUGGGGAACACCAAAAGCGAAGGCAGCACACUGGCACAUCACUGACACUUAGGCACGAAACCUACGGUAGCGAAUGGGAUUAGAUACCCCUGUAGUCC
rnacentral:rRNA from 1 species